UGGGGAAUUUUGGACAAUGGGCGAAAGCCUGAUCCAGCAAUGCCGCGUGUGUGAAGAAGGCCUUCGGGUUGUAAAGCACUUUUGUCCGGAAAGAAAUCCUUGGCUCUAAUACAGUCGGGGGAUGACGGUACCGGAAGAAUAAGCACCGGCUAACUACGUGCCAGCAGCCGCGGUAAUACGUAGGGUGCAAGCGUUAAUCGGAAUUACUGGGCGUAAAGCGUGCGCAGGCGGUUUGCUAAGACCGAUGUGAAAUCCCCGGGCUCAACCUGGGAACUGCAUUGGUGACUGGCAGGCUAGAGUAUGGCAGAGGGGGGUAGAAUUCCACGUGUAGCAGUGAAAUGCGUAGAGAUGUGGAGGAAUACCGAUGGCGAAGGCAGCCCCCUGGGCCAAUACUGACGCUCAUGCACGAAAGCGUGGGGAGCAAACAGGAUUAGAUACCCUGGUAGUCCACGCCCUAAAACGAUGUCAACUAGUUGUUGGGGAUUCAUUUCCUUAGUAACGUAGCUAACGCGUGAAGUUGACCGCCUGGGGAGUAC
rnacentral:rRNA from 1 species